rfam:Gossypium raimondii chromosome 5, whole genome shotgun sequence.
AUCCCAUGAUGAGGACACUUACAAAGUAACUCCUUGAAUUGCUCCCAAGCCUCAUACAGAGACUCGUCAUCUAGUUGCUGGAAAGUUGUGAUCUUGUUCCUCAACUU